CAACCGUCCUUAAACACAACAAUUUUAUACAUUUCUUAAAAACAAUUUUUCUUUGAAAUAUUUUUACUAAAGUCAAAAAUGAUGCAGUCUUGUAUACUCCUAUAAUUUGCUAUUUUUCUCUUUUGAUCACAAAAUUAAGGACUACAAUAAUGCAGUAUUUAACUUGUCAUCGGCUUUUUCUUUGCUCUAUAUGCCAUGGCCAUGUCGUUGUUGUCAUCCGUUCUCUACUGCUGCUUGAUGUCGACAAGGAGGAUUUUUAAAUUAACAUAAAUUUCAAAAACUACAACGUCUCUGGCAAAAGUAGUUGCAAACUUGCAAAUAUCAAACAAAAAAAUGAAAAAAAAACGCACAAAAACAAAGGCCAAGACAAAUUUAUUUGCCCAACUAUGUUUGAAUUGCAGCUGUAUGAAGUAGCUGCAACUGUUCCGGAUAAUGUCGUUGCUUGUUGUCGGAGCGCAACUUAAAGCGACAUCCGCAGAGCAGCAUCCGUUUUAGCAUCUAAUUUUAGAGUGUGACAUCAAAAAGUUUUGCUAUACCCUUUUGCGGAAAGUUUCUUUUUUUUUAGCGCUUUACGCUGUAGUCUGCCGUCGCCUAGGCCUUCUUUCAGAACUUGUUUCCCCUGUACGUUUAUGGAAAACGACUGCCAUUUGAUGUAGAGUGGAAAGAAAAACUUAAAAAUGUCUUAAAACUACAAUGAAAUAAAAAGAAACGAAAUGAGGCUCUCUAAUGGUUGUCUAAUCCGCAUUAGCUAUAAUGCUACGUUAGGCAUACUUCGACUGAGACUUGGAAAAGUCUAAGUAGUUUUAAAGGAAAUUGUAGAAGCCUACGAAAUCCAUAUAAGAUCUGUAAAGGAAAUCUGCUCCAUUAAGUUUAGUUAAUACCGGUGACAAAAUUUGAAUUCUCUUAAAGACUUAAACAUGGGAAAAUUGGUUUUCAUACUGUUCCCAUCUAUUAUAUUAGUGAAAUAACAAAA
rnacentral:sRNA from 1 species